CCUACGGGUGGCAGCAGUAGGGAAUAUUGCUCAAUGGGGGAAACCCUGAAGCAGCAACGCCGCGUGGAGGAUGAAGGUUUUCGGAUUGUAAACUCCUUUUGAUAGAGAAGUUAAUGACUGUAUCUAACGAAUAAGCUAUGGCUAACUCCGUGCCAGCAGCCGCGGUAAUAUGGAGGGUGCAAGCGUUACUCGGAAUCACUGGGCGUAAAGGGCGCGUAGGCGGGAUAGCAAGUCAGAUGUGAAAUCCUAUGGCUUAACCAUAGAACUGCAUUUGAAACUGUUAUUCUAGAGUAUGGGAGAGGUAGGUGGAAUUCUUGGUGUAGGGGUAAAAUCCGUAGAGAUCAAGAAGAAUACUCAUUGCGAAGGCGACCUGCUAGAACAUAACUGACGCUGAUGCGCGAAAGCGUGGGGAGCAAACAGGAUUAGAUACCCCAGUAGUC
rnacentral:rRNA from 1 species